UUUGGGGUAUGAUGUGAGAUAUACAACUCAGUCUAGAGGCUUCCUAGAUUAUGGUGGCUUUGCUGAGACAUUUGCACGUCAGGCUGAUCCCAAA